AGCGAACGCUGGCGGCAGGCCUAACACAUGCAAGUCGAACGAACCUUUCGGGGUUAGUGGCGGACGGGUGAGUAACACGUGGGAACGUGCCUUUAGGUUCGGAAUAACUCAGGGAAACUUGUGCUAAUACCGAAUGUGCCCUUCGGGGGAAAGAUUUAUCGCCUUUAGAGCGGCCCGCGUCUGAUUAGCUAGUUGGUUGAGGUAAUGGCCCACCAAGGCGACGAUCAGUAGCUGGUCUGAGAGGAUGAUCAGCCACAUUGGGACUGAGACACGGCCCAAACUCCUACGGGAGGCAGCAGUGGGGAAUCUUGCGCAAUGGGCGAGAGCCUGACGCAGCCAUGCCGCGUGAAUGAUGGAGGUCUUAGGAUUGUAAAAUUCUUUCACCGGGGACGAUAAUGACGGUACCCGGAGAAGAAGCCCCGGCUAACUUCGUG
rnacentral:rRNA from 1 species